rnacentral:rRNA from 1 species
UACGUAGGUCCCGAGCGUUGUCCGGAUUUAUUGGGCGUAAAGCGAGCACAGGUGGUUUAAUAAGUCUGAUGUAAAAGGCAGUGGCUCAACCAUUGUGUGCAUUGGAAACUGUUAGACUUGAGUGCAGUAGAGGAGAGUGGAAUUCCAUGUGUAGCGGUGAAAUGCGUAGAUAUAUGGAGGAACACCGGUGGCGAAAGCGGCUCUCUGGACUGUAACUGACACUGAGGCUCGAAAGCGUGGGUAGCAAACAGG